rnacentral:rRNA from 1 species
UGCUGACAUAAGUAACGAUAAAGCGGGUGAAAAGCCCGCUCGCCGGAAGACCAAGGGUUCCUGUCCAACGUUAAUCGGGGCAGGGUGAGUCGACCCCUAAGGCGAGGCCGAAAGGCGUAGUCGAUGGGAAACAGGUUAAUAUUCCUGUACUUGGUGUUACUGCGAAGGGGGGACGGAGAAGGCUAUGUUGGCCGGGCGACGGUUGUCCCGGUUUAAGCGUGUAGGCUGGUUUUCCAGGCAAAUCCGGAAAAUCAAGGCUGAGGCGUGAUGACGAGGCACUACGGUGCUGAAGCAACAAAUGCCCUGCUUCCAGGAAAAGCCUCUAAGCAUCAGGUAACAUCAAAUCGUACCCCAAACCGACACAGGUGGUCAGGUAGAGAAUACCAAGGCGCUUGAGAGAACUCGGGUGAAGGAACUAGGCAAAAUGGUGCCGUAACUUCGGGAGAAGGCACGCUGAUAUGUAGGUGAAGUCCCUCGCGGAUGGAGCUGAAAUCAGUCGAAGAUACCAGCUGGCUGCAACUGUUUAUUAAAAACACAGCACUGUGCAAACACGAAAGUGGACGUAUACGGUGUGACGCCUGCCCGGUGCCGGAAGGUUAAUUGAUGGGGUCAGCGCAAGCGAAGCUCUUGAUCGAAGCCCCGGUAAACGGCGGCCGUAACUAUAACGGUCCUAAGGUAGCGAAAUUCCUUGUCGGGUAAGUUCCGACCUGCACGAAUGGCGUAAUGAUGGCCAGGCUGUCUCCACCCGAGACUCAGUGAAAUUGAACUCGCUGUGAAGAUGCAGUGUACCCGCGGCAAGACGGAAAGACCCCGUGAACCUUUACUAUAGCUUGACACUGAACAUUGAGCCUUGAUGUGUAGGAUAGGUGGGAGGCUUUGAAGUGUGGACGCCAGUCUGCAUGGAGCCGGCCUUGAAAUACCACCCUUUAAUGUUUGAUGUUCUAACGUUGACCCGUUAUCCGGGUUGCGGACAGUGUCUGGUGGGUAGUUUGACUGGGGCGGUCUCCUCCUAAAGAGUAACGGAGGAGCACGAAGGUUGGCUAAUCCUGGUCGGACAUCAGGAGGUUAGUGCAAUGGCAUAAGCCAGCUUGACUGCGAGCGUGACGGCGCGAGCAGGUGCGAAAGCAGGUCAUAGUGAUCCGGUGGUUCUGAAUGGAAGGGCCAUCGCUCAACGGAUAAAAGGUACUCCGGGGAUAACAGGCUGAUACCGCCCAAGAGUUCAUAUCGACGGCGGUGUUUGGCACCUCGAUGUCGGCUCAUCACAUCCUGGGGCUGAAGUAGGUCCCAAGGGUAUGGCUGUUCGCCAUUUAAAGUGGUACGCGAGCUGGGUUUAGAACGUCGUGAGACAGUUCGGUCCCUAUCUGCCGUGGGCGCUGGAGAACUGAGGGGGGCUGCUCCUAGUACGAGAGGACCGGAGUGGACGCAUCACUGGUGUUCGGGUUGUCAUGCCAAUGGCACUGCCCGGUAGCUAAAUGCGGAAGAGAUAAGUGCUGAAAGCAUCUAAGCACGAAACUUGCCCCGAGAUGAGUUCUCCCUGACUCCUUGAGAGUCCUGAAGGAACGUUGAAGACGACGACGUUGAUAGGCCGGGUGUGUAAGCGCAGCGAUGCGUUGAGCUAACCGGUACUAAUGAACCGUGAGG